AUACUCAAGCCAAGCAUAUGAAGGAUGCCUCUGAUUGCGUUAUUCUCAAUCCAACUGAAUUUCUGCUCACUUUCGCUGCUGAGGGAAUUCUGACCAAGGUGUCUUCACUUGCCUCUCAAGAACUCACUCUUGCAUGGGGGUUCAAGGCCGAACUGAAGAAGCUCAGGAAGUCCUUAUUCAUCAUUAAUUCAAGAUUUCUUACACGGCGCUGCCGAUCAGAAUUCAGAAACCACAAGAUCAGGGCAAGGCAGUAGAGGAGUGGGUCAAGAAACUGAAAGACAUAGCUCACGAUGCCGAUGAAGUGUUGGAUGAAUUCAACUAUGAAGUUAUCCGGCGCAAAGUGGAACUGCAAAACCACAUGAAGAGAAAGGUACUCAACUUCCUUUCUGCCUCUAAUCCCCUUUUGUUUCGUCUCAAAAUGGCGCAUAAUAUUAGGAAGAUCAAUGAUGCUUUGGUAGAGCUUAAGAAUGAGGGAGCUUUCAUCAACUUGGUUGCAAAGAAGAGAUAUUCAAGCCCUGGAGGGGAACGGCCGGAUCGGGAGCAAACGGACUCAUUUUUUGAGAAGGAUGAAAAGGUUGUUGGAAGGGAGGGUGUUGUGUCAAAAAUAGUUGAGAGCUUGACCGACUCCAACAAUCAGCAGGAUCUUUCAGUUAUGGCCAUUGUGGGAAUGCCGGGACUGGGAAAGACGACUUUGGCUAAAUCAGUGUACAAUGAACCUGCUAUAGAUUCACACUUCCAUAAGAAAAUAUGGGUGUGUGUAUCAAAGUAUCAAACACUUUCAGUGUCGAUGUGAUUUUAAGCCAGAUGGUAGACUCUCUAAUACCAGAAAAGGCUGGAGUGAAAAGCCAAGAUGCAUUGCUUAAAGUUCUAAAAGAAGAGCUGACAGGGAAGAGAUAUGUGCUGGUGCUCGAUGAUGUUUGGAAUGAGGAUAGUAAAAAGUGGGAAAGCUUGAUGAGUUGUUUGUCAAAGCUGAAUUCUACUCUGGGAAGCAGCAUUAUCAUCACCACACGAAGCCUAAGAUGAGGAAACACUAGCUUCCUUCAACCUUGUUUAUUAAUUCAUGAUAAGCAAGGCUGACCCAUAUAUAUUUGCCAGGGUGAGAAAAUGUAUCAUGACAAAUGACUCCUAUACCAGGUUGAGGAUGAGAUAUAAGAUUAAAGAGAAAAUUCUGGAUAGCUACUUGAAGGGAAAGAUGCUUAUCAUGCUGUAACUUGAAGAUUUUAUCUUUACAAU